rnacentral:rRNA from 1 species
AGGGCCGUAGGAGACUACUACGUUGAUAGGCUGCAGGUGUAAAGUCAGUAAUGGCAAAGCCGAGCAGUACUAAUUGCCCAAAGACUUUCUAAA